GCAAACUUGGUCAUUUAGAGGAAGUAAAAGUCGUAACAAGGUUUCCGUAGGUGAACCUGCGGAAGGAUCAUUACAAAUCCUUAACACUCACUCACUACAUGUUGAACCACAUAUACGCGCAAGGAGGAGAGGAGGAGAUGUGUGAGAUAUGUGUCUGCCACUGCCGCCACGUCUCUGUGUCGGUCGGUGGUGUCUGUCACCGCUACUACCACAUCCCCUCCUCACCACACCUGCACUUACUACUAUACCACUAGUUGAUCAGUUGUAUAUAGUGUUUUCUAACACAGAAACAACUCAUAACAAUGGAUCUCUAGGCUCUUGCAUCGAUGAAGAACGCAGC
rnacentral:misc_RNA from 1 species